rnacentral:rRNA from 1 species
CCUUAGUACGAGAGGACCGGGAUGGACGCACCGCUGGUGUACCAGUUGUUCCGCCAGGAGCAUCGCUGGGUAGCCAAGUGCGGGAGGGAUAAGCGCUGAAAGCAUCUAAGCGCGAAGCCCGCCUCAAGAUGAGAUUUCCCAAUUCGUAAGACCCCUUGGAGAACACGAGGUUGAUAGGCUCGGGGUGUAAGCACAGCAAUGUGUGUAGCUGACGAGUACUAAUCGGUCGAGGGCUUAUCCUAA